rnacentral:rRNA from 1 species
CCUGGCUCAGGAUGAACGCUAGCUACAGGCUUAACACAUGCAAGUCAGGGGAAACGACAUCGAAAGCUUGCUUUGAUGGGCGUCGACCGGCGCACGGGUGAGUAACGCGUAUCCAACCUGCCACACUUGGGGAUAACCUUGCGAAAGUAAGACUAAUACCCAAUGAUAUCUCUAGAAGACAUCUGAAAGAGAUUAAAGAUUUANCGGUGAUGGAUGGGGAUGCGUCUGAUUAGCUUGUUGGCGGGUAACGGCCACCAAGGCAACGAUCAGUAGGGGUUCUGAGAGGAAGGUCCCCCACAUUGGAACUGAGACACGGUCCAAACUCCUACGGGAGGCAGCAGUGAGGAAUAUUGGUCAAUGGGCGAGAGCCUGAACCAGCCAAGUAGCGUGCAGGAUGACGGCCCUAUGGGUUGUAAACUGCUUUUAUAAGGGAAUAAAGUGAGCCUCGUGAGGCUUUUGCAUGUACCUUAUGAAUAAGGACCGGCUAAUUCCGUG